UACGGAGGGUGCAAGCGUUAAUCGGAAUUACUGGGCGUAAAGGGUUUGUAGGCGGUUUAAUAAGUUAAGUGUGAAAUUCCUGGGCUCAACCUGGGGUAGUCAUUUAAGACUGUUAGACUAGAGUAUAGGAGAGGGUAGUGGAAUUUCCGGUGUAGCGGUGAAAUGCGUAGAGAUCGGAAGGAACACCAGUGGCGAAGGCGGCUACCUGGCCUAAUACUGACGCUGAGGAACGAAAGCAUGGGGAGCAAACAGGAUUAGAAACCCCGGUA
rnacentral:rRNA from 1 species